rnacentral:sRNA from 1 species
AUUCUCCUGCCGCCUC